AUACGAAAAUGACUCGUUGCACAGCGACUGUGGUUUUGCUCUCAAUGGGCGUGCCGAAAUGUAAAUUUUCCCUAGUGAAAAAACAAGUUAUGACGAAACGAACACAUUACUUACUUUAAUUGGCUAUGACAGAAUAUUUGUUCCUUUAGCCGAACGUAGAAUAGCGUUCCAAGCGCCUCGAUCUUCUGCGCUCAUUCUAAAAUCUCUGACACCAAGUCUCGAGGUGUCUCUCACAACUUGAUCUUUCAAUCGGGCUUUUGGUCUUCCCGGUUUGCGAGUACCACCGUGUUUGCCUUCAAAAGACUUCUUUGCUGGAGCUUCUUCAUCCAUUCUGACAACAUGACCUAGCCAACGCAGCCCUUGUGUUUUGAUGCGUGUAACUAUCGUCGUCAUACAGCUCUUGGUUCAUACGUCGCCUAUAUUCUCCGUUUACGCAAACUGGUCCAUAUAUUUUAAGAAGAAUCUUUCUCUCAAAUACUCCAAGCACUGCCUCAUCUGCUUUCACAAGUACCCAUGCUUCAGAACCAUAUAACAGCAGAGGUAGUAUCAGUGUCUUGUAAAGUACCGAACACAUUUCGGCAAUUUUUUCUGUUUGUGUUUUUAUAUGGAGUUUCAACGCGAAACCAAAUAUAGUAGCGGCCUUAAUUAGGGAAUGACCUACUGCACGAAAUCAGCAAGUUCUUUUGCCUUAAAAUCUAUUAUCCUAAAAAUGUAAUCAUGGAAAAAUUUUGCUUAAAGCGAAUCACCCUUAACUUGUAGUGUUCAUUAAAUUCAUAAUGAAACGAUAUUUCAGUUUGGAAUGAAAAACAGUGGGUACACAUAAUAAGAAUCUGUCAAGUGAAAGUUUAUUGAGUCUUCUUCUAUUCCGAUUACUUUAAAAACAUUAAGAACUAUGACUGCCUCUUUCUUAUACACGAUGGGUAUGUUAUAGGCUACAUGCUUGAAAAUAUAAUGCAUAAAUAUGAAUAUCGUGACAAACUGAAACUGACAACAAAAAAAAAAAAAACGUUUGCUCACGCGCUUUACUGUUUCUUUACAGAGCAGUGUAUCUGUUAAAAUAAUAAAUAGCUUAAAACUAAAUAACAACUACAACAAAAAAACAAUUGUCUGUAAAUAACUAUAUCUAACAGAGCGAGAUGAAAUAAUCAAACAAUGAAUGAAAAUGUGUAAAUAUCACAGUUCUUCAUCCACGGUGAGUUCCAGACGUUGAUUUAAAGAAAAAAUCAGGCAUGGCAGAUGGGGCUGAUUCGUUGUCGAUUGUUUCAUUAAUUAUGGCAACUAAAGAAAGUUCAUUUUCAUGUGUAGGUAAUUUCUGGACAACUUGAGCCCAUAUGCACAUAGGGGUUCAAUGCCUGCAAUGUCAUAAAUUUCUUUGGCCACUGUGAGAUAGUGAACCAGAUUGGAAAGGCGUAUGUCAACACAGGUCUCACAGCCACUUUAUACACUAAUAACUUGGUAGACUGAGCAUCUCUCUUGCAUGUGUAUUGAAUCUCAACUCUGGAUUCUACAGGAAUGCUGACUCCAUUGAGGAUGAGCUGCUAAUUUCUCAAGAGAUAUUUCGGGAGAUUUGUGAUGUACAUAUAAAAGGCAAUCAUCUGCAUAUAGAAUGGCCUGCGAAUCAAACGCUGUGUGAGGAAAGUCAUGUAAGAAUAAAUUUAACAGAUACGGCACCAAUACACGUUCCUGCGGUACUCCGCUGUUAACAGAACCAAAUGUUGAUAAUGUGCCCCGAAUAUACACCCAAAAUCUUUGGUUUUGAAAGAGGUGUUCAAAGCAACUACGCAGAAUGUUGGCAAGAAAUGGAUCCGUUUCCAAGGUAAGCUUAUACAAUAUGCCCAUAUGACAAACUGAAUCAAACGCCUUCUCUAUGUCAAGAGAUAUUGCUACGAUACAGUAUUGGUUGUGGA